UUAAUGUAUUGUGCGAAUAUCAUUUGAAGCAUAGGCCGUGUAGUGAAUACCAUAGAUAAACUCUUAAACCUUGUUCUUAUUAUAGAUGCUACGUUUUGGUUAGAAUGCAUGAUUGUUGUACGAAAGAAUAAAUGGAAAUCUUGCAAUUUAGAGUGAAUGUUAACUCCCGUUACAUGCCCAAUUAAGUUGUAAUUGAGGAAUGUGAUGACCGAAAUACAUACAUGAAAAACUAGCCCAGCCGUCUAUUGAUUUAUGUGAAACUAUGCUGUCUUGUAACAUAAAGAAUCAGCAAGAAUCCUGCAUAUUUAACAAGGGAGUUAUGUGCAGAGUCUACCGUAAAUUACGGUGGUACCGUAAUUUACGGUGACCUGCAACUCUGUUACGGUGGAUCUCUACUGUGUUACGGUAGACCCCCAAAUGUUCAGGAGCCACCGUAAUUUACGGUGACACCGUAAAUUACGGUGAAGCCCUGUUUGAUGAACUUUAUUUCUCGUUUUGAAUAAGUUUUCGAAUCUAAUCCAAUUUCGUGACUUCCAUGGUACCAAGUGAAGGAUGAAGAUCAAGCUAGUUAACUCGAACCGAACACUCUAGCAAACGCUUCCGCAUAUAACCUUUUGUUUUAAAAACCAUGUAAACAAUUGUAGUUAAUGUCUUGGUUAUGAUUUUGUAAAGAUUGUACAAGUUUGUGGUGCUUAGAUGGAUUAAAAUGAUGAAAGUUUUUGUUAAGUCAAUAUUUUGACAUCUAAUGCAAGGUUUUUAUGUAUAUAAAUCUGGUUUCAUAAGCUGGGUCUUACAAGUUGGUAAUCAGAGCUUAAGGUUUCCAAUAAGUGUUCGGUUCAAGCUUGAUCAACAUCCGGUAAGAGUUAUUGCUUAAGUAAAAUUUAGAAGUAUAGAAAUAAUUCACAAAAGAAUAUACAUGGAAAAGAGUGUAUAAACACACUC
rnacentral:lncRNA from 1 species